rnacentral:tRNA from 1 species
GGCCCCUUCGUCUAGUGGUCUAGGACGUCGGCCUCUCACGCCGGUAACACGGGUUCGAGUCCCGUAGGGGUCACCA